rnacentral:lncRNA from 1 species
CUGUAUGAUGAGAGUUUAAAUUCCUACCACAGCCAUAUAUACAUGUUUGCUAGACUUUGAGCCACACAUUUACUAUUUACUGCUUAUGAGCAUUGAGUGUGAUCAAGCUGUGUAGACCCCUAGGAGCUUGUCAUGUGGUUAAAUCAAGAUUAACUUGCACGUUCACUCACAUAUGCUACUUCUACUCCGGAAGUACCAUCCACAUAUAUCCACCCAUUUCCAUCUCCAGAACCACCCAAAAAUAUUCUACUCCUAAUCCGGGAGAGAAUAGCCAAAAAUAUUUAUGUUUUCCCUUGUGAAAUAAAUGCUCGAGUUAUCUUGCUACUACCACUUGCUAUAUUAUCUCAUGAGAUGAGUGCUCUAAAAAAAGAGAAAAUACGAGGAAAUAAAAAGGGGCAAGUGCCCGGAACCUCGAAAGAAAAGAAAAAGUGAGACGAGAGGUAAAAAUGGACAAGUGUCCGACAGUAGAAUUAGGGGUACAAGAUACCCACCUAAGAGGAAGAAAAAAGAAGAGCAUCUCAUUCUCCUUAUAAAAUUUCAAAAGCAAGGAAGUUAUGUAUCCCCUCAAAGAGCAAAAGUAGAAUUAGGCUUUCACCAUUAUUAUCAUCACCAUACACCAUUCAUUCGCCACACAUGCACAUCUUGAUUUGACUUAUUUAUUUGUUUCUUUGGAUCUAUGGUUUGACUAUGCAAUAAAUGUCUUGUAAGUAUGUAUAUUUUAUCUCCCACCUAUGAGCUCCAGAUAUUAAAGCCUUAUUAGAGUAGGGUGAGAGAGAAGGUAAUGUCACUAUGCCAUAUACCACAAAUACCACAUAUUUUGAGAGAAGGCAUAUACCAUCACUGCCUUGGUAAGGAUCCAGAAAUACCACAAAAGAGAGAUAUGAGAGAAUCAUACAAGGAAUUUCUGAGUUUUAUUUGAAAAUCUGUAAAAACUCCAGAGCUAUAGCUGAUCAAGAAUAAGAGACAUGGCACUUGACUAGACUGUUCUAUCUUUUAACUACUCAAGACAGAAGUGACAGUUACAAGUCCCAUGGUGAAAGGUAAAGUAAGUAAGUAUUAAGUCUUGACAGU